rnacentral:rRNA from 1 species
AGAGUUUGAUCCUGGCUCAGGAUGAACGCUGGCGGCGUGCCUAAUACAUGCAAGUCGAGCGGCAGCACGGUCUUCGGACUGGUGGCGAGCGGCGGACGGCUGAGUAACGCGUAGGAAUAUACCCCAAAGUGAGGGAUAACUGCCCGAAAGGGUGGCUAAUACCGCAUGUGGUCUUCGGACUAAAGCCUUCGGGCGCUUUGGGAAUAGCCUGCGUAAGAUUAGCUAGUUGGUGAGGUAAUGGCUCACCAAGGCGACGAUCUUUAGCUGGUCUGAGAGGAUGACCAGCCAGACUGGAACUGAGACACGGUCCAGACUCCUACGGGAGGCAGCAGUAGGGAAUUUUCCACAAUGGGCGAAAGCCUGAUGGAGCAACGCCGCGUGCAGGAUGAAGGCCCUCGGGUCGUAAACUGCUUUUAUGUGCGAAGAAUAUGACGGUAACACAUGAAUAAGGGUCGGCUAACUACGUG